rnacentral:rRNA from 1 species
GAUGAACGCUGGCGGCGUGCCUAAUACAUGCAAGUCGAGCGAACAGAUAAGGAGCUUGCUCCUUUGCAGUUAGCGGCGGACGGGUGAGUAACACGUGGGUAACCUACCUAUAAGACUGGGAUAACUUCGGGAAACCGGAGCUAAUACCGGAUAACAUUUAGAACCGCAUGGUUCUAAAGUGAAAGAUGGUUUUGCUAUCACUUAUAGAUGGACCCGCGCCGUAUUAGCUAGUUGGUAAGGUAACGGCUUACCAAGGCGACGAUACGUAGCCGACCUGAGAGGGUGAUCGGCCACACCGGAACUGAGACACGGUCCAGACUCCUACGGGAGGCAGCAGUAGGGAAUCUUCGGCAAUGGGCGAAAGCCUGACGGAGCAACGCCGCGUGAGUGAUGAAGGGUUUCGGCUCGUAAAACUCUGUUAUUAGGGAAGAACAAAUGUGUAAGUAACUGUGCACAUCUUGACGGUACCUAAUCAGAAAGCCACGGCUAACUACGUG